rnacentral:rRNA from 1 species
GUGAGGAAUAUUGCGCAAUGGGCGAAAGCCUGACGCAGCAACGCCGCGUGAAGGAUGACGGUCUUCGGAUUGUAAACUUCUGUUAAGUGGGAAGAAAGGCUCGUUUAUAAUACAGACGAGAAAUGACGGUACCAUUAGAGAAAGCACCGGCUAACUUCGUGCCAGCAGCCGCGGUAAUACGAGGGGUGCAAGCGUUAUUCGGAAUAAUUGGGCGUAAAGGGUGCGUAGACGGCAUAUUAAGUCAACUGUUAAAUACCUCGGCCUAACUGGGGACCGGCGGUAGAUACUGAUGUGCUAGAGGAUGGAAGAGAGGAGUGGAAUUCUCGGAGUAGCGGUAAAAUGCGUAGAUCUCGAGAGGAACACCAAUGGCGAAGGCAGCUCCUUGGUCCAUAUCUGACGUUGAGGCACGAAAGCGUGGGGAGCAAACAGGAUUAGAAACCCCAGUAGUCC